AUUGAACGCUGGCGGCAUGCUUUACACAUGCAAGUCGAACGGCAGCGCGGGCUUCGGCCUGGCGGCGAGUGGCGAACGGGGGAGUAAUGCAUCGGAAAGUGCCCAGUCGUGGGGGAUAGCCCGGCGAAAGCCGGAUUAAUACCGCAAACGACCUGAGGGUGAAAGCGGGGGACCGAAAGGCCUCGCGCCUUUUGGGCGGCCGAUGUCGGAUUAGCUAGUUGGUGGGGUAAAGGCUUACCAAGGCGACGAUCCGUAGCUGGUCUGAGAGGACGACCAGCCACACUGGGACUGAGACACGGCCCAGACUCCUACGGGAGGCAGCAGUGGGGAAUUUUGGACAAUGGGGGCAACCCUGAUCCAGCCAUGCCGCGUGCGAGAAGAAGGCCUUCGGGUUGUAAACCGCUUUUGUUCGGGAAGAAAUCCUCUGGGCUAAUACCCCGGGGGGAUGACGGUACCGGAAGAAUAAGCACCGGCUAACUACGUG
rnacentral:rRNA from 1 species